rnacentral:rRNA from 1 species
GAUGAACGCUGGCGGCGUGCCUAAUACAUGCAAGUCGAGCGAACAGAUGAGAAGCUUGCUUCUCUGAUGUUAGCGGCGGACGGGUGAGUAACACGUGGGUAACCUACCUAUAAGACUGGGAUAACUCCGGGAAACCGGGGCUAAUACCGGAUAAUAUUUUGAACCGCAUGGUUCAAUAGUGAAAGACGGUUUCGGCUGUCACUUAUAGAUGGACCCGCGCCGUAUUAGCUAGUUGGUAAGGUAACGGCUUACCAAGGCGACGAUACGUAGCCGACCUGAGAGGGUGAUCUGCCACACUGGAACUGAGACACGGUCCAGACUCCUACGGGAGGCAGCAGUAGGGAAUCUUCCGCAAUGGGCGAAAGCCUGACGGAGCAACGCCGCGUGAUUGAUGAAGGUCUUCGGAUCGUAAAACUCUGUUGUUAGGGAAGAACAAAUUUGUUAGUAACUGAACAAGUCUUGACGGUACCUAACCAGAAAGCCACGGCUAACUACGUGCCAGCCGCCGCGGUAA